rnacentral:tRNA from 1 species
GCCCCAGUAGCUCAGCCGGUAGAUUGAUAUGCACGUAAGGUAAAGGUCGGGGGUUCAAGUCCCCCCUGGGGCUCCA